rnacentral:tRNA from 1 species
CCGGGGCGGAACUUCAGGUGGGUGUGGGGUUCGUGGCUCCACAGCUUCGACAGUUCGGAGGUGUUGUCCUGGC